GACGAACGCUGGCGGCGCGCCUAACACAUGCAAGUCGAACGGAGCUGAGAGAAGCUUGCUUUUCUUAGCUUAGUGGCGAACGGGUGAGUAACGCGUGAGUAACCUGCCCUGGAGUGGGGGACAACAGUUGGAAACGACUGCUAAUACCGCAUAAGCCCACGAUCCGGCAUCGGAUUGAGGGAAAAGGAUUUAUUCGCUUCAGGAUGGACUCGCGUCCAAUUAGCUAGUUGGUGAGGUAACGGCCCACCAAGGCGACGAGUGGUAGCCGGACUGAGAGGUUGAACGGCCACAUUGGGACUGAGACACGGCCCAGACUCCUACGGGAGGCAGCAGUGGGGGAUAUUGCACAAUGGGGGAAACCCUGAUGCAGCGACGCCGCGUGGAGGAAGAAGGUUUUCGGAUUGUAAACUCCUGUCGUUAGGGACGAUAAUGACGGUACCUAACAAGAAAGCACCGGCUAACUACGUG
rnacentral:rRNA from 1 species